rnacentral:lncRNA from 10 species
UUUAUUCGUAAUUAGACGGGGAGGAAAGUCUUUGAAGAGCAACCUCUACUUUACUUUUUAUAAGUGGAUGUUACCAGUGUGGAAAGCGAGGGCAUUUUAAGAGAGAAUGUCCUGAAUGAAAAAAAGAAGAAAAGGUUAAAAGGACUUCUGACUCAAACUCCACUUCUAGAGUUCAGGUUCAGCACUUCCAGCCCGGCGACUUGGUGCUGAUUAAGACUUGGGAAGAAGACAAGCUCCACCCAAACUGGGAAGGUCCCUACCAAGCGCUCCUGACCACUGAGACAGCUGUGUGAACAGUGGAACGGGGGUGGAAGAAUUGUCUGAAGAGGAUGAGUGA